rnacentral:rRNA from 1 species
CCUACGGGCGGCAGCGGGGAAUAUUGCACAAUGGGCGCAAGCCUGAUGCAGCCAUGCCGCGUGUGUGAAGAAGGCCUUCGGGUUGUAAAGCACUUUCAGCGGGGAGGAAGGCGGUGAGGUUAAUAACCUCAUCGAUUGACGUUACCCGCAGAAGAAGCACCGGCUAACUCCGUGCCAGCAGCCGCGGUAAUACGGAGGGUGCAAGCGUGAAUCGGAAUUACUGGGCGUAAAGCGCACGCAGGCGGUCUGUCAAGUCGGAUGUGAAAUCCCCGGGCUCAACCUGGGAACUGCAUUCGAAACUGGCAGGCUAGAGUCUUGUAGAGGGGGGUAGAAUUCCAGGUGUAGCGGUGAAAUGCGUAGAGAUCUGGAGGAAUACCGGUGGCGAAGGCGGCCCCCUGGACAAAGACUGACGCUCAGAUGCGAAAGCGUGGGGAGCAAACAGGAUUAGAUACCCCAGUAGUC